rnacentral:rRNA from 1 species
UAGGGAAUCUUCGGCAAUGGACGGAAGUCUGACCGAGCAACGCCGCGUGAGUGAAGAAGGUUUUCGGAUCGUAAAGCUCUGUUGUAAGAGAAGAACGAGUGUGAGAGUGGAAAGUUCACACUGUGACGGUAUCUUACCAGAAAGGGACGGCUAACUACGUGCCAGCAGCCGCGGUAAUACGUAGGUCCCGAGCGUUGUCCGGAUUUAUUGGGCGUAAAGCGAGCGCAGGCGGUUAGAUAAGUCUGAAGUUAAAGGCUGUGGCUUAACCAUAGUACGCUUUGGAAACUGUUUAACUUGAGUGCAAGAGGGGAGAGUGGAAUUCCAUGUGUAGCGGUGAAAUGCGUAGAUAUAUGGAGGAACACCGGUGGCGAAAGCGGCUCUCUGGUCUGUCACUGACGCUGAGGCUCGAAAGCGUGGGGAGCGAACAGGAUUAGAUACCCUGGUAGUCCACGCCGUAAACGGUGAGUGCUAGGUGUUGGGUCCUUUCCGGGGCUCAGUGCCGCAGCUAACGCAUUAAGCACUCCGCCUGGGGAGUACGACCGCAAGGUUG